CAGUACAGGCUCCGACCGAGGACUGAGGAAGCUUAGGAUGACUAAUAAGAAUGGUUGCGGCGAGUGUUUUGUUGUGGAAGUAUUAGAAGAAUGUGUAAGAAACAUACGGUGCUCAUGAUGCAACUUCCUGGAUGGUGUGUAAACUGUUUAUCAGCAUGUGAAAUCCACAUGAUUGAAGGAGAAGUCUUCCUUGUUAAAGAUCAGCAACGGCAGAUAAACAAUGCAUGAUGCAAUCUGCUCACUAAAAAGAUUACACCAAUACAUCCCAUGACAUGUAUUUCUACCUAUCACCUAUGUAACCUUUGUCAUGCUCUUCAGAGAGUCAUCGAUAGGAAAAGGAAUUACCAGUAAGUUGACAGGACUUUCCACACUGUUUCUGGUAGCAGCUUAUGAUUGAAUUGAUGAUAGAAGACAUGGCCCACUUAAUCAAAGAUAAUCUGUAUAGAGUGGCACCUUAACCACCACUGGUGAAAUAGAAGAUGACUAGUGGAUGGUCAUCACUUUGCAGCUCACUUUCACUUUCUGCAGCCCAUCUCUUCUCAUCCACAAUCAUUGUCUUUGGAGGAAUGGUGACAGUGCAGUCCUCAUGGCUGGGCAGGUCUACUGCAUGUUGACAGCUGAUACUUGUUCUCUAUUUACUCCAAGAGGCCUACUACACAUUGUACCUCAGUUAUGACUGUACUCGUGCUGGCUUCUAUGAUGUUAAUUUCCUUUACCUGCACUGCAUUAAACUUGGUCAAUUCUGUUACUGUCGAACACCAACAGAUGAAAAUAAGAUUAAGCUGAUCCUGCCAACAUUGUGACAUAAGCGGUCCAAUGUCCAAUAUCUCACUCUGCAGUCAAACAUCAUUUUUUUUUUUUUAUGAACGCUCAGUAAAACAUUGGAAAUGUUAGACUUUUUUAGUAUUGAUUUAUAUAGUUACAUAUUUUUAAAGUAAUAACAAUUCUUUUUAUGCUCCCGGAUCGAAAGAUGUUUUUGUCCUGUCUGUCUGUUUGUCUGUUUGUCUGUUGUCAACUUUAACCUUGCCCUUAACUUUUGAUUGGUUGGAGCUAUGACUUUCGUAUUUCACAUGUGUAUUUCUUGUGACAAGAUCUUUCUUUGGGUACAAGCAUAUUUGACCUUUGACCUUGGCCAUAACUUCUGAACAGUUGGUGCUUGGGGUUUCAAACUUCACAUAUUCUUUUGUAUUCUUUGUGACAAGGCCUUCCUUUGGAUACCAACAACUUUGACCUUGACCUUGACCUUGGAGUUUGACCUACUUUUGAAAAACUUUAACCUUGGUCAUAACUUUUGAACGGUUAGAGCUAGGGCUUUCAUACUUUACAUAUGUAAUCCUUGUGACAAUACCUUCCUUUGGAUACUAACCACUUUGACCUUUUGACCUUGACCUAGGAGUUUGACCUACUUUUGAAAAACUUUAACCUUGGCCAUAACUUUUGAAUGGUUAAUGCUAGGGCUUUCAUACUUCACAUAUGUAAUCCUUGUGACAAGACCUUCCUUUGAAUACCAACCACUUUGACCCUUUGACCUUGACAUAGGAGUUUGACCUACUUUUGAACAACUUUAACCUUGGCCAUAAUUUUUGAAUGGUUGGUGCUAGGGCUUUCAUACUUCACAUAUGUAAUCCUUGUGACAAGACCUUCCUUUGGAUACCAACCACUUUGACCCUUUGACCUUGACAUAGGAGUUUGACCUACUUUCGAAAAACUUUAACCUUGGCCAUAACUUUUGAAUGGUUGGUGCUAGGGAUUUCAUACUUCACAUAUGUAAUCCUUGUGCCAAGACCUUCCUUUGGAUACCAACAACUUUGACCUUGACCUUAAUGUUUUACUGACUUUUAAAAAACUUUAACCUUCGCCAUAACGGGGGCAUCAGUGUUUCACAAACACAUCUUGUUAUUGAUGUAUGUUUAAGUAUGCAAAAAUGAACAUUGAUGAUAUUAAAGGUGAGGUAUUUAUUUGUGAUUUCUCUUCUGAAUAAAAUUUUAUAUCAAUAA